GGCGCUUCUUGUAUAUUUUUUAAAAAAAGACAAGAAGAAGUAAAACAAAAAUAUUUUUUCCUUCUGUCAAAGGAUCACAAAUUCAUUGACAUUCACAAACAUUCAUCAGCCGAUAUGUUUCUCUUUUAUAAUUGUAGUACUUACUUGUGGUAGGUUGCUCAGUAACAGUCAGGCGCACAGGGAACUGGAGGUUUCCACUGACACAUAAAUACCAGCCGCUGCUCUCCGUCUUCAGUCCUCUCAUAGUCACGC